AACGAACGCUGGCGGCAGGCUUAACACAUGCAAGUCGAGCGCCCCGCAAGGGGAGCGGCAGACGGGUGAGUAACGCGUGGGAAUCUACCCAUCUCUACGGAAUAACGCAUGGAAACGUGUGCUAAUACCGUAUACGUCCUUCGGGAGAAAGAUUUAUCGGAGAUGGAUGAGCCCGCGUUGGAUUAGCUAGUUGGUGGGGUAAAGGCCUACCAAGGCGACGAUCCAUAGCUGGUCUGAGAGGAUGAUCAGCCACACUGGGACUGAGACACGGCCCAGACUCCUACGGGAGGCAGCAGUGGGGAAUAUUGGACAAUGGGCGCAAGCCUGAUCCAGCCAUGCCGCGUGAGUGAUGAAGGCCCUAGGGUUGUAAAGCUCUUUCACCGGUGAAGAUAAUGACGGUAGUCGGAGAAGAAGCCCCGGCUAACUUCGUGCCAGCAGCCGCGGUAACAC
rnacentral:rRNA from 1 species